GGGGACUUAGUUUAAAGGAAGAAUGACGCUCUCCAAAAGCGUUGAUGGGGGUUCGAUUCCCUCAGUCCCCG
rfam:Parcubacteria bacterium DG_74_3, whole genome shotgun sequence.